CCGAUUUUUCGGUGGGAGGCUUGACCCACGAAACAAACCUUGACCUCAAAUCG
rnacentral:rRNA from 1 species